rnacentral:rRNA from 1 species
AUUCCAGCUCCAAUAGCGUAUACUAAUGUUGUUGCAGUUAAAAAGCUCGUAGUUGAAUUUCUGAGUAGUCUUCUUCGUCUGCCCUAACGGGUGUGAACGUCGCUAAGGCUAUUCAUCCUUCUGAAGAACCUAUGUGGCAUUUACUUGUCGUGUAGGGGAUCAGAUACUUUACCUUGAAAAAAUUAGAGUGUUUCAGGCAGGCAAUCGCCGGAAUACAUUAGCAUGGAAUAAUUGAAUAGGACUUCCGGUUCUAUUUGUUGGUUUUGUGGACCGAAGUAAUGAUUAAUAGGGAUAGUUGGGGGCAUUCGCAUUUAAUUGUCAGAGGUGAAAUUCAUGGAUUUGUUAAAGACGAACUUAUGCGAAAGCAUUUGCCAAGGAUGUUUUCAUCA